UACGAAGGGGGCUAGCGUUGUUCGGAAUUACUGGGCGUAAAGCGUGCGCAGGCGGCCAUCCAAGUCAGUGGUGAAAGCCCGGAGCUCAACUCCGGAAUUGCCAUUGAAACUGUUCGGCUCGAGUACGAGAGAGGUGAGUGGAAUUCCCAGUGUAGAGGUGAAAUUCGUAGAUAUUGGGAAGAACACCGGUGGCGAAGGCGGCUCACUGGCUCGUUACUGACGCUCAGGCACGACAGCGUGGGGAUCAAACAGGG
rnacentral:rRNA from 1 species